rnacentral:rRNA from 1 species
UGCCAGCAGCCGCGGUAAUACGGAGGGUGCAAGCGUUAAUCGGAAUUACUGGGCGUAAAGCGUGCGUAGGUGGCUUGUCAAGCCAGAUGUGAAAGCCCCGGGCUUAACCUGGGAACUGCAUCUGGAACUGGUUGGCUAGAGUACGGUAGAGGGUAGUGGAAUUUCCUGUGUAGCGGUGAAAUGCGUAGAUAUAGGAAGGAACAUCAGUGGCGAAGGCGACUGCCUGGACUGAUACUGACACUGAGGCACGAAAGCGUGGGGAGCAAACGGGAUUAGAUA